UGAGGAAUAUUGGGCAAUGCCCGCAAGGGUGACCCAGCAACGCCGCGUGGAGGAUGAAUGUCGUAAGAUUGUAAACUCCUGUUAGAGGGGAAGAAUAGUACCGGUUGGACCGGUAUAUGACUGUACCCUCAGAGAAAGCCCCGGCUAACUACGUGCCAGCAGCCGCGGUAAUACGUAGGGGGCAAGCGUUGUCCGGAUUUACUGGGUGUAAAGGGCGCGCAGGCGGGAUAAAAAGUCAGUGGUGAAAUCCUACAGCUUAACUGUAGAACUGCCUGUGAUACUUUUAUUCUUGAGUUCGGGAGAGAGAGACGGAAUUCCAGGUGUAGUGGUGAAAUACGUAGAUAUCUGGAAGAAAACCAGUUGCGAAGGCGGUCUCUUGGUCCGACACUGACGCUGAGGCGCGAAAGCGUGGGGAGCAAACA
rnacentral:rRNA from 1 species